GUCCUACGGGAGGCAGCAGUGAGGAAUAUUGGACAAUGGAGGCAACUCUGAUCCAGCCAUGCCGCGUGCAGGAAGACGGCCCUACGGGUUGUAAACUGCUUUUAUACAGGAAGAAACGCCGCUACGUGUAGCGGUUUGACGGUACUGUACGAAUAAGGAUCGGCUAACUCCGUGCCAGCAGCCGCGGUAAUACGGAGGAUCCAAGCGUUAUCCGGAAUCAUUGGGUUUAAAGGGUCCGUAGGCGGUUUUUUAAGUCAGAGGUGAAAUCCUGCAGCUCAACUGUAGCAUUGCCUUUGAUACUGAAAGACUUGAGUUAUUGUGAAGUAGUUAGAAUGUGUAGUGUAGCGGUGAAAUGCAUAGAUAUUACACAGAAUACCGAUUGCGAAGGCAGAUUACUAACAAUAUACUGACGCUGAGGGACGAAAGCGUGGGUAGCGAACAGGAUUAGAUACCCUGGUAGUCCACGCCGUAAACGAUGGAUACUAGCUGUUCGACCAACAUUGGUUGGUUGAGUGGCUAAGCGAAAGUGAUAAGUAUCCCACCUGGGGAGUACGCUCGCAAGAGUGAAACUCAAAGGAAUUGACGG
rnacentral:rRNA from 1 species